rfam:TPA: Bos taurus chromosome 3, whole genome shotgun sequence.
UCCCUUGUGUCUCAGCUGGUAAAGAAUCCGCCUACAAUGCGGGAGACCUGGGUUUGAUUCCUGGGUUGGGAA